CGACCGGCGCACGGGUGAGUAACACGUAUCCAACCUGCCGUCUACUCUUGGCCAGCCUUCUGAAAGGAAGAUUAAUCCAGGAUGGGAUCAUGAGUUCACAUGUCCGCAUGAUUAAAGGUAUUUUCCGGUAGACGAUGGGGACGCGUUCCAUUAGAUAGUAGGCGGGGUAACGGCCCACCUAGUCAACGAUGGAUAGGGGUUCCGAGAGGAAGGUCCCCCACAUUGGAACUGAGACACGGACCAA
rnacentral:rRNA from 1 species